AACCUCCGCAAUGUGAGAAAUCGCGACGGGGGGAUCCCAAGUGCCAUUCUUAACGGGAUGGCUUUUCUUAAGUGUAAAAAGCUUUUGGAAUAAGAGCUGGGCAAGACCGGUGCCAGCCGCCGCGGUAACACCGGCAGCUCUAGUGGUAGCAAUUUUUAUUGGGCCUAAAGCGUCCGUAGCCGGUUUAAUAAGUCUCUGGUGAAAUCCUGUAGCUUAACUGUGGGAAUUGCUGGAGAUACUAUUAGACUUGAGACCGGGAGAGGUUAGAGGUACUCCCAGGGUAGAGGUGAAAUUCUGUAAUCCUGGGAGGACCGCCUGUUGCGAAGGCGUCUAACUGGAACGGUUCUGACGGUGAGGGACGAAAGUUAGGGGCGCGAACCGGAUUAGAUACCCGGGUAGUCCUAACUGUAAACGAUGCGGACUUGGUGUUGGGGUGGCUUUGAGCUGCUCCAGUGCCGAAGGGAAGCUGUUAAGUCCGCCGCCUGGGAAGUACGGUCGCAAGACUGAAACUUAAAGGAAUU
rnacentral:rRNA from 1 species